UACGUAGGGGGCUAGCGUUGUCCGGAAUCAUUGGGCGUAAAGCGCGUGUAGGCGGUCCGGUAAGUCCGCUGUGAAAGUCGGGGGCUCAACCCUCGAAUGCCGGUGGAUACUGUCGGGCUAGAGUGCGGAAGAGGCGAGUGGAAUCCUGGUGUAGCGGUGAAAUGCGCAGAUAUCAGGAGGAACACCAAUUGCGAAGGCAGCUCGCUGGGACGUAACUGACGCUGAGACGCGAAAGCGUGGGGAGCAAACAGG
rnacentral:rRNA from 1 species